GCGGCAAUAGCUCAGUUGGCAGAGCGUUGGCUUCCCAAGCCGAAGGUCGCGGGUUCGAGCCCCGUUUGCCGCUCCU
rnacentral:tRNA from 1 species